rnacentral:rRNA from 1 species
CCAGACUCCUACGGGAGGCAGCAGUGGGGAAUAUUGCACAAUGGGGGAAACCCUGAUGCAGCGACGCCGCGUGAGCGAUGAAGUAUUUCGGUAUGUAAAGCUCUAUCAGUAGGGAAGAAAAUGACGGUACCUGACUAAGAAGCCCCGGCUAACUACGUGCCAGCAGCCGCGGUAAUACGUAGGGGGCGAGCGUUAUCCGGAUUCACUGGGUGUAAAGGGAGCGUAGACGGCCAAGCAAGCCAGGGGUGAAAGCCCGGGGCCCAACCCCGGGACUGCUCUUGGAACUGCGUGGCUAGAGUGCAGGAGGGGCAGGCGGAAUUCCUGGUGUAGCGGUGAAAUGCGUAGAUAUCAGGAGGAACACCGGUGGCGAAGGCGGCCUGCUGGACUGCAACUGACGUUGAGGCCCGAAAGCGUGGGGAGCAAACAGGAUUAGAUACCCCAGUA